rnacentral:rRNA from 1 species
GUUAAUAAUGGACAUAAUUGUGCUUUCUUAACUCAUAUGGGAAAGACUUGUAACUCUGCUCACAACUAUGCGGCCAAAUGCUAUGAUAAUUUGAAGAAUCAACCAUGUCAUAUUGAGCUGUUAAUGGAGAGACAAACAUCAGAAGACAUACAAGCGAAUAGGCUGAGGCUUAGAGCAACAAUUGAUACCUUACGG